rnacentral:rRNA from 1 species
UAGCGAAGGGGCUAGCGUUGUUCGGAAUUACUGGGCGUAAAGCGCGCGCAGGCGGCUAUCCAAGUCAGUGGUGAAAGCCCGGAGCUCAACUCCGGAACUGCCAUUGAAACUGUUUAGCUUGAGGACGAGAGAGGUGAGUGGAAUUCCCAGUGUAGAGGUGAAAUUCGUAGAUAUUGGGAAGAACACCGGUGGCGAAGGCGGCUCACUGGCCCGUAACUGACGCUCAUGCACGACAGCGUGGGAGUCAAACAG